GUGAGGAAUCUGUUUGACCUUAUGCUCUUGGCUGAGUUUGACAUCCAACAAAUAUCCGGGUAAUUGAAGUCCCCCAUUACUACUAUCUCCCUUCCUUUUGCAUGCUUGGCCAUCUGUUCCAGGAAGGCAUCAUCUAUGUCCUCCGUUUGGCUUAGGGAUCUAUAGUAAACUCCCACAAUGAGGUCACUGUUAUUCUUCUCUCCCUUAAUUUUGACCCAAAUGCUCUCACUUUGGCUUUGAGGUUCUAAAUCUUGGAUCUCUUCACAGGUAUACACAUCCCUGACAUAUAACGCCACUCCUCCUCCUUUCUUGUCUGGUCUGUUUCUCUGAAAUAGAUUGUAUCCCCCAUUAUUACAUUCCAAUCGUGGGACUUAUCCCACCAGGUUUCAGUGAUGCCUAUUAUGUCAUAUUUAGUUUGCUGUACCAAGAGCUCAAGCUCAUCUUGUUUAUUUCCCAUGCUUUGCGCAUUAGUGUACAGACAUUGAAGUCCAUUAAUCAUUCCCCGUGACUCUUAUUUAAGGAUUUUUCCUCCCACCACUAGGUCUGUGUGCUGUUUGCUCCAUUUGGUCUAUGACAUUUGGAUGAUCAUCUUCAUCAAUUGAUAGACUCCUACCUUCAGGAGCACUGUCUCCCUCCCCACAUUAGUCAGUUUAAAGCCCUCCUGAUGAGGUUUCUGAGAUUUUUGGCAAAAACAUUCCUCCCAACCGUUGUGAAGUGCAGCCCAUCGCUUGCCAGAAGUCCAUCUUCAAGAAACUGCAGUCCGUGAUCUAAGAAUCCAAACCGUUCCUGUUUACACCAUUUGCGAAGCCAGCUGUUCACUUCCACUAUUUUCCCCUCUCUCCCU